rnacentral:rRNA from 1 species
AAACAACUCUCAGCAACGGAUAUCUUGGCUCUUGCAACGAUGAAGAACGCAGCGAAAUGCGAUACGUAGUGUGAAUUGCAGAAUUCCGCGAAUCAUCGAGUCUUUGAACGCAAGUUGCGCCCGAGGCUUGUCCAAGGGCAUUUCCGCUAGAGCGUCACCGCGCCCCCCCACCAACCCCCUCCUAGCGAGUCGGGUCGAGUGAAACUG